AACUGGAUAACCAGUAGACAUCUUAAACUCACCAUGUCCAAAAGGGAACUCAUUAUCUUCCCCCGUCAACUCUCCCCUACCUCCGGCCUUCCUCCCUGUUACUGUAGAGGGCAACACCGUCCUCCCAAUCCUUCAGGCUCUUAACCUGAGAAUCAUUCCAGAUUCCUCUUUCUCACCCUUCAUAUCCAAUAUGGUGCCAAGGCCUGUCGCCUUCACCUUUGGGAAGGCAGUAGAACACAAGAUGACUGGAAAAGGAGAAAGGACCAGAACUUUGGGUGUCAAAGGACUUUAUAAUUUGAUUCCAGAAGUAAGAGGGAUUCAUUAUAGUUUACUAAGUAGGGAGCGGUUUGGAAAAUCACUCUGAUAGAUAAGUGGAAGAUGGAUUUGAGUGAGAAGAGACUUGAUGAAAGAAGACCAAUCAGAAGGCUACUGCAAUAAUCUGGAGAUUUUGAAAAAGGCUCGUACAAGGGCAUUGGCUGUAUGAGUAGAGAAAAGGGGAUGUAUAAAAGAGAUCUUGUACAGAAAAAUGUCACAAAAUUUAAGAAGAGAUAUACCGUUUGGAAUGAUCAAGAAAGAAAAGAUGAAGGCGAUGCUGAGACUCCCUCAUGACUCCUGGAAAUGUGAGACAUGUGCUAUGUAAAUCUUCAGAGGACCCUGGACGUAUGCCUGCUAGAAAUGUCCCUCCAAGCUGAAGAGAAAUCCUUAUUAUGAGAUGAUUUCCUCUAGCACUGUGAAACUAGAGAUCUGAACCCUGGGAAGACAUCACGGGAAAGUUCUUAGGAGGCUACAAGCACAAGAGUUGCCCAUCUGAGUAAAGUAGAAUCAAGGAAGGAAGAGAAAGAAGCAAAGUUUGAUGCACCUCCCUC